GACGAACGCUGGCGGCGUGCUUAACACAUGCAAGUCGAACGGAAAGGCCCUGCUUUUGUGGGGUGCUCGAGUGGCGAACGGGUGAGUAACACGUGAGUAACCUGCCCUUGACUUUGGGAUAACUUCAGGAAACUGGGGCUAAUACCGGAUAGGAGCUCCUGCUGCAUGGUGGGGGUUGGAAAGUUUCGGCGGUUGGGGAUGGACUCGCGGCUUAUCAGCUUGUUGGUGGGGUAGUGGCUUACCAAGGCUUUGACGGGUAGCCGGCCUGAGAGGGUGACCGGCCACAUUGGGACUGAGAUACGGCCCAGACUCCUACGGGAGGCAGCAGUGGGGAAUAUUGCACAAUGGGCGGAAGCCUGAUGCAGCAACGCCGCGUGCGGGAUGACGGCCUUCGGGUUGUAAACCGCUUUCGCCUGUGACGAAGCGUGAGUGACGGUAAUGGGUAAAGAAGCACCGGCUAACUACGUGCCAGCAGCCGCGGUGAUACGUAGGGUGCGAGCGUUGUCCGGAUUUAUUGGGCGUAAAGGGCUCGUAGGUGGUUGAUCGCGUCGGAAGUGUAAUCUUGGGGCUUAACCCUGAGCGUGCUUUCGAUACGGGUUGACUUGAGGAAGGUAGGGGAGAAUGGAAUUCCUGGUGGAGCGGUGGAAUGCGCAGAUAUCAGGAGGAACACCAGUGGCGAAGGCGGUUCUCUGGGCCUUUCCUGACGCUGAGGAGCGAAAGCGUGGGGAGCGAACAGGCUUAGAUACCCUGGUAGUCCACGCUGUAAACGGUGGGUACUAGGUGUGGGGUCCAUUCCACGGGUUCCGUGCCGUAGCUAACGCUUUAAGUACCCCGCCUGGGGAGUACGGCCGCAAGGCUAAAACUCAAAGGAAUUGACGGGGCCCGCACAAGCGGCGGAGCAUGCGGAUUAAUUCGAUGCAACGCGUAGAACCUUACCUGGGUUUGACAUGGAUCGGGAGCGCUCAGAGAUGGGUGUGCCUCUUUUGGGGUCGGUUCACAGGUGGUGCAUGGCUGUCGUCAGCUCGUGUCGUGAGAUGUUGGGUUAAGUCCCGCAACGAGCGCAACCCUUGUUCACUGUUGCCAGCACGUUAUGGUGGGGACUCAGUGGAGACCGCCGGGGUCAACUCGGAGGAAGGUGGGGAUGACGUCAAGUCAUCAUGCCCCUUAUGUCCAGGGCUUCACGCAUGCUACAAUGGCUGGUACAGAGAGUGGCGAGCCUGUGAGGGUGAGCGAAUCUCGGAAAGCCGGUCUCAGUUCGGAUUGGGGUCUGCAACUCGACCUCAUGAAGUCGGAGUCGCUAGUAAUCGCAGAUCAGCAACGCUGCGGUGAAUACGUUCCCGGGGCU
rnacentral:rRNA from 1 species